CGCUGCUGCCCUCUUGCGCGGCGGCGGCUGCCCUCUGGGCUGGGUCCUGCCUCUACCUGACUGCCUGCCUACCCGCCCACUGUGGAGGGCAUCCUCCUCCACACACCCCUCGCCGGCCCCACCCGCUCCGAAGCGGGAGUUUCCAGGAAGCGCUGAGCAGAGCCGCAGUAUCGCUCAGCCGCCCUCUCUCGCCGAACCCCUCCGCCGCCGAGACUGUGGCAACCACGUCAAGUAGUCCAUGGUCCCAACGAGCUUUCCCUGACCGGUUCCCCCACCCCGACCCGACUUCUCGGAUCAAGGGCAUUCAAAAAGUACGCCCAAUCAGGCCCGGGGAGGCCGGGUGGCAAAGAAAGAACGCCUCAGCAGCCGGCUUUGGAAUUAAAGUGUGAGAGAGGGAGAGGGUGGAAGGAGUUCCGGCCGCGGCGGCAGCAGACACAGAGGCGAACGGGGGAGUGAGAGAGCCGAAGAGCUCGUUUAGCAAGAGGAGAAGGGAGGGGAGGGAGCCCGAGGAGCGAGCGGGAAAACGCGGUCCGGAGCUGGGAACAGCCUUCCCUCCCCCACCCCACUCCCUCGCCGGGGGCGCUUCUCACUGAGUUGCUUCUCCUUCAGAGGCGCCAAGCUCCGCCGAGCCAGGCAGGCAGCUCCUGGGAGCCUUCCCUCUUCACGCAGAGCAAAGGGGGCGCCUUUCCCCCAGCUUUCAUUGCGCCCUCACCAGUCAUCUCUUCUGUAGGUGCCAGUUUCACACACACAGGCGACUCAGCCUGAGCGCCUCCGUUCUUUUCCCCCUUCUCCUUCCCCAACAGGCAAGGAGUUUCUGCCUCAGCUCUGUUCUGCCUGAUUUACACGUACAUGUGCGUUGAAAUAAAUAUGUGCUGAGAGUCCCCACACACUUCCAUUGGCACUCCACCACCUUGCCAGAGUGGGGUGUUGUGUUGUGUUUUGUUUUUUAAGAAUGGCAAGGGCAUCUUUUCCUUUCUUUCCGUUUUGCUAAUGAGAGAAGGCCCCUUGGAAGAAUCCAAGAUUCAGAAGCACCCCACAGCAACCUAGGGGGCACCCAAGGCACUGAGUGUACUACUUCCACAUGCUGUAUAAAACAAAUCUUCCACCUCACAAAACAAUCAUUCCACAAGUCCAUGGAACUCCAUGCUCACAUAUGCACAUGUCCCAUUACCUAUGUCAGCUCAAAUGGGGAGGAGCUAACCCUGAACAAGAUCUUCCAGCUGCUUUUCUUGAAGAAUAACCACAGCAAUGGCCUAUAGCGGGUCUCUGUCUGCAAAACUCUGAUGCUGCGCUUUGAACAAAACAUAACUGGAGAACCAACAACAAAAAAUCCUUCAUGGACAGAGACUUUAACUUGCCAGUCAGGUGGAUCAGGCUGAAUAUUGCCAGUGGUAUUAAAUCCUCAUAACUCCAGAGUAGUUAGUACCACCUGUUAGAAGCAAAUAAUAGCAUUCCCUCCAUCAUAUAUAUGUAUGUUCACACUCAACAAAAUGUUAUGGUGCUUGAUUAUGUAAGGACUCAUAGACAUUAAUACCAGUGUUAUAUAUGAAAGUUAUAUGUCUAAAAAACCAUGUUUAUUUCUAUGAAUAAGAUUUUUUUGCAGUACCUUUAAAUUAUAUCUUCCAAAUCUU